UACGAAGGGGGCUAGCGUUGCUCGGAAUGACUGGGCGUAAAGGGCGUGUAGGCGGUUUGUACAGUCAGAUGUGAAAUCCCCGGGCUUAACCUGGGAGCUGCAUUUGAUACGUGCAGACUAGAGUAUGAGAGAGGGUUGUGGAAUUCUCAGUGUAGAGGUGAAAUUCGUAGAUAUUGGGAAGAACACCGGUGGCGAAGGCGGCAACCUGGCUCAUUACUGACGCUGAGGCGCGAAAGCGUGGGGAGCAAACAGG
rnacentral:rRNA from 1 species